AGGUUUUUGGUGCCAUUUUCUGUGUGAAGGAGGCAUCCGAAUUUUAAUGUCCGAUACCCGACACGGAGAACAGCACGCAAGCCUCCUAAGAGGACCGUGACCUUAGUGUGCAAGCUCUCACUCAGACACCACCAAAGCUAUGCUGAAGUAGUGUUCACCUUUACUAAGAGGUCUCCUCUCAGGAACUUCCCUCUAUGAACUCAGGCACCAUAUGAAGAGACCACAUGCAAGCGCUCCAACUGAAGGCCCAGCUGAAGUUUCAGCUGACAGGCAAUAUCAAUCACCAGACAUGAGAGCACUACUUCACGGUUAUUCCAACGAGAAC
rnacentral:lncRNA from 1 species